rnacentral:lncRNA from 1 species
AGAAUGAGAUUCUCAGGAGGGAGAAUCCAGCUUUGAGCUCAGGCGGUGGCAGCUCAGCUUUGACAGUUUCUGGAGGAGAAGAAGAUGAUAGAUGGAGCGAUAAGAGAUCGCGACGAGAGUGGUCCAAGUCUAAGAUGAGGGACUUGAGCAAGAUCAGCUGUUAUCGAUGUGAUGAGUUGGAAUAUCUAGCCAGAGAUAACUCUCAACUCAGGGAUA